rnacentral:rRNA from 1 species
CCUACGGGGGGCAGCAGUGAGGAAUAUUGGUCAAUGGACGAGAGUCUGAACCAGCCCAGUAGCGUGAAGGAUGACUGCCCUAUGGGUUGUAAACUUCUUUUAUCUGGGAAUAAAAUGUUCCACGUGUGGGAUUUUGUAUGUACCUUAUGAAUAAGGAUCGGCUAACUCCGUGCCAGCAGCCGCGGUAAUACGGAGGAUCCGAGCGUUAUCCGGAUUUAUUGGGUUUAAAGGGAGCGUAGGUGGAUUGUUAAGUCAGUUGUGAAAGUUUGCGGCUCAACCGUAAAAUUGCAGUUGAAACUGGCAGUCUUGAGUACAGUAGAGGUGGGCGGAAUGCGUGGUGUAGCGGUGAAAUGCUGAGAUAUCACGAAGAACUCCGAUUGCGAAGGCAGUUCACUGGACUGCAACUGACACUGAGGCUCGAAAGUGUGGGUAUCAAACAGGAUUAGAUACCCUGGUAGUC